AACCUACGGGGGGUAGCAGUGGGGAAUAUUGCACAAUGGGGGAAACCCUGAUGCAGCAACGCCGCGUGAGUGAAGAAGUAUUUCGGUAUGUAAAGCUCUAUCAGCAGGGAAGAAAAAAGACGGUACCUGACUAAGAAGCCCCGGCUAACUACGUGCCAGCAGCCGCGGUAAUACGUAUGGAGCAAGCGUUAUCCGGAUUUACUGGGUGUACAGGGCGUGUAGGCGGGCCUGCAAGUGAGAAGUGAAAUCUGGGGGCUUAACCCCCAAGCUGCUUUUGAAACUGUGGGUCCUGAGUGAUGGAGAGG
rnacentral:rRNA from 1 species